rnacentral:lncRNA from 1 species
AGAAAGGUUCAGCAAGUAAUAUAUAUUCUUUGGCUCACUGGAGUUGUCAGCAUGUGUUAGUGAAUCUACAAGGAAAAGCAUAUGCUUAAAUGUGGUUACUGUGUGGGGUGGUAGACACAGUACUGUAACAUUGGGAGCACUUCUUGAUUGGGAAUAAUUGAUUCUAUGCCAAUACACACAUUUUAUAAUUAUUUUCAAGAUCCAGUGCAGCCUUACAAAUAACCUGUUCAAAAAAAUGUAGGAACAUGGGGUUCUGUCCUAUUAAGCUUACUUAAAUUUAAGAGAAAGUAAUGAUGAGUGUUAAUUAAUUUAAAUUAAUUUAGCAACUAGUGAAAGGCAAAAAUAAAUUGCUUAGACAUGGUCCAAGUUCACUAUACCUGUUCAGAAUAUUAGUAGAUUUGUUGCUUGGUUAAAAAAAAAUAUGCGACUGCUUUUAUUUGAGUAAAAUACAAUGUAAUCAUGCUGUCUGAGUGUCCAGUAAACUCUGGUGAUGCUUCAGUUUGCUGUUAACUUCAGGGAUAGUUUAGAAUAAUUUGAUUUGAUCUUCAAAAGUUUCUCAAUAAGAAUUUAGACAUGAGCUUUUACUUCCUAGCCAAGCCUUCUGAAUGGGUGUACAAAGAUGUGUCUACUCCUUUGCCCCAUUCCAGGCUCCUCCCAUUCAAAAGCAGCCAUUUAUGCUUUACUGUCCUAGCUGUUUGAAGUUGAUAUUAUUCUUUUCCUUUUAGCAAUGUACUGUGGUUUGAAUUGUGUGUGUAUUUAACCUAAUAUUCAACUUAAAUUUCAUUGAUUUGAGCUAUUAGCUAUAAUUAUUUUUAGAAGGUGAAUAAAUAUAUAAAAUUAUAUAAAAUGUGGGUUGUCUAAGAGUAUUGAUAGUGUAAGAGCUGGAAUAUGUCUAAAGUAACAAUUUUGCACAGAAAUACAUUUUGCAACAUUAAUAGUCCACAUACCCAUUAGUCUCCAAGUUUUAUGAUAUACAUUUAACAAUCAAGGCAUGUUUAAAUUGUAUUUAUUGUGAAUUACAAUUUGGUGAGUAUACUGUUAUUGAUAAAUUAAUACACAGAUCCAUUAAUGCCUAUAUUAAUCUAGGGUAUCAUAUUGGGUUGCUUUUAACUUGCCAAAUCUAGGUUACACAGAAUGGUGAACUAUACUUAAAAAUGUUUGUCUGCCCCAAUUUUAAAAGAAAAAAAUAGGCCUUUAUACUUAACAUGUGGAGCUCGAGCAAAAUUAUAAUCAAAUAUUGUACAAGAGAAGGUAUAAACUGUUGAUAUUUUGUUUGAUAUUGUGAGAGAGAGAGAGACAGAGAGAGAGAGACAGAAUUGCAAGAGUGAGUGAGAGAAUAAGCACUCUGUUUUCUUGUUGUUGUUAUUGCAUAUUUUCGUUUUUAAUUUCAAAUGUGAUCUCCUUUCUAGGUUUUCCCCCCUCCGGGAAACUCCCUAUCCCAUCCUCCCUCCCCCUGCUUCUAUGAGGCUGUUCCUCCAUUCACACAUCCACUCUCACCUCCCUGCCCUCAAUUCCCCCACACUGGGGCAUCUUUCAAACUUCAUAUUUUUUAUCUUCACUGAUAGCUGUCUCUCAGUGGUAGAGACACCACUGAGCCAAUGAGCUCACAAUUUUAUUUUUGAGAUGUAAUUUAUUUGCUUCAAUAAAAGCAGGGCAUUGCAAAAAAACUUAAUGAAGGUUUGUUAUGUAAUGAUGUUUGCUGAACUGAUUUUAAACACUUAGCAAAUCUGCAUGUCCUUUAUUCAUUCUUUUAUUACAAAAUAUGUGUUAAAUUCCUCUGUGCCUUUGAUGUCUUGCAUUAUGUCCCAUCUUGAUAGUCCAUUCUCAUACUGUAAAUUACAAAUAGCAGUUCACCUUUCUGUACCUUGCUUACAGCCAUUAAAUCAGAUUGCAACACAUUGAAAAGCAAAAUGGAAAAUUUGAAUGUUCUUUUUUCUACAAAAUUAAAAAUUUUUGAAGAGACAAUAUUAAUUUUAUUUAAAAAAAGGAAAUCAUGUAAGGUUUGUAACUUUAAGGAAUUCCAAUCUAUCACCAUCAAAUUUGGAGCUCUGUGUGAUCUAUAUGCUGACUUAUCGUCCUAAACGCAAUGCAGCCAGAUUCAUUCUAACUGAAUUCCUUUCCUUGCAGCUUAUUUUUACCUGGAGUUUUCAAAAGUUACCUUAAAAUAACUUGUAUGUUUUGUCAUUAAAUGAUAGAAAACUCUCAGCCCUCUUACACUCUUAAUUCUACUCAAAUGCAGAUCUUACAUUUUCAGAUCUUUUCUUUUCAUGAGAGCUUCGAGAAUUUAGGAUUUGAGCAUGUGCUGUGGCAUAUGGUGCAUUUUCUGUCCUAUUUUGUAUACCAGCCCAUUAAGAAGAGAAAGUGAAGUAAGUAAUCUAAAAAUAACCCUGCUGUUGGCCUAAUUUAACAACAACAUAAAAAAAGUCUUCUGUGCAUAAGUAAAGUUCCACAUUUGCCUCCACUGCUGGAAAAAUCUCUCAAGCAUGUUGCUACCUCGCACAGAAUAACACCUCGGUUGGCACUGCUGCAGUUAGAAGGACUGUUUAGACGUUCUUUUUCUUUUCAUGGUAGUCUGUGCUAGCCCCAGAUACAACAACUUCCUCAGUCUGAUGAACCCACCUAACUGAGCCUUGAGCAGAGGUGAAUAACUUUUUCUGGUAGAUAUUUAUUUUUACAAAAUCAACUGACGUGAGCUUGAAUUGGUG